UACGUAGGGCGCAAGCGUUGUCCGGAAUUAUUGGGCGUAAAGAGCUCGUAGGCGGCUUGUCACGUCGGAUGUGAAAGCCCGGGGCUUAACCCCGGGUCUGCAUUCGAUACGGGCAGGCUAGAGUGUGGUAGGGGAGAUCGGAAUUCCUGGUGUAGCGGUGAAAUGCGUAGAUAUCAGGAGGAACACCCGUGGCGAAGGCGAAUCUCUGGACCGGUUCUGACGCUGAGGAGCGAAAGCUAGGGGAGCAAACAGG
rnacentral:rRNA from 1 species